GACGGAGGAUGCAAGCGUUAUCCGGAAUGAUUGGGCGUAAAGCGUCCGCAGGUGGCAGUUCAAGUCUGCUGUCAAAGACCGGGGCUUAACUUCGGAAAGGCAGUGGAAACUGAACAGCUAGAGUAUGGUAGGGGCAGAGGGAAUUCCUGGUGUAGCGGUGGAAUGCGUAGAGAUCCGGAAGAACACCGGUGGCGAAGGCGGUCUGCUGGGGUAAUGCUGACACUGAUGCGCGACAGCGUGGGGAGCAAACAGG
rnacentral:rRNA from 1 species